AGGGUCCUCUUCUUUCUUCUUCUCGUCUCUCCUCUUUUUCUUCUUCUUCUUCUUGAUCAUCUUAUUAUUAUUAUUAUUUGUCUUUUUCCUCCUCCUCCUCCUCCUCCUCUUCUUCUUCUUCUUUCUUUUAUCUCUCUCCUCCUCUCCUCUUUCUUCUUCUUCUUCUUCUUCGUCUUCUUCUUCUUCUUCUUCUUCUUCUUCUUCUUCUUCUUCUUCUUUCUUU
rnacentral:lncRNA from 1 species